UUUUCGUCCAUUUUGAGUUAAUUUUUGUGUAUGGUGCAAGAUAGGGAUCCACGCAAAAGUUUCAUUCUUUUGCAUGUGGAUAUCCAGUUUUCCCAACACCAAAAGAGACUGUCCCUUCCCCACUAUAUAUUCUUGGCUGCUUUUGUGUACAUUACUUGACCAUAUAUGUGUGGGUUUAUUUCUGGGCUUUCUAUUCUGUUCCAUUGGUCUAUGUGUCUGUUUUUAUGCCAGAACCAUACUGUUUUAAUUAUUACAGUUUUGUAAUAUACAGUAGCCCCCCCUCCCCCACAGUUUCACUUUCUGCAGUUUAAGUUACCCACAGAUGACCAUCGCCUGGAAGCAGAUGAUCCUUCUUCUAUCAUCAGAAGAUCAGUAGUAGCCUAAUGCUAUGUCAUAAUGUCUGUAUCAUUCACGUCACUUCAUCUCAUCACAGGGAUUUUAUCAUCUUACAUCAUCUCAAGAAGAAGGUGUUGACAGCAGUGCAAGGAUUGGACAAUGACGGUCUUAACACUUGCCAUGUCAACAUCAUUGGAUUGCAGCACUCAUCAAAUCAGGCAUCAAAGGCAUCCAUCAUUUUCUUCAAUUCAGCUACUGAAUAAUAGCUCCAAAUGUACUGAACAUUAUUCCCCGCCUCUCUAGAAAUAUUGCAAAAGAUGAUGAAAACAUACGAAGUAUGAAUGUAUGUGUGUGUGUAUGUAUAUACAGCUAAUACUCGAUAUACUACCAAAUACUUGUUAAUUAAGGGAAAAAAUAUGUUGGCAUUGAAUAGUUGUUCUUCUGCAACUCUUAAGGACAUAUAUAGAUAAUAAUAUACUAUAGAUUAUAUCUAUGAGUAUAAUAUACUAUACUCAUAUACUAACCUAUAUUCAAUCUCUUUUUAAUGUGGUAAAGUACUUGUUAAUUCCACAAUAUAGACUGUACAGACAAAUCAACAAAUCUUUAGAAAUAGGUUUUCUAAGAAAAAUUACCUAACUCCAGGAAAAUUUUAAAAGAUUCAACUUUGACUAAAACUUUCAUAGCACUGUUCCAGGCACUCAUAUAUCUUAUAUAACCAUCCUGUAAAGAAUUCAGAAAAUGAUGACAUAUUUAGUCACCUAAAAAAGCAAGUUCAUGUGAUCAUUCAUUAGUCACUAAUAUCUGACCCAAUCCAACCACCCAGAGAAUUCGAAAAACAAACAAACAAAAAAAACAACUGUAAUGUGAAUUGACCGCUGUGUUAAGUCAGUUUACAAAAAAAAUAUUAAGAGAAUAACCCUUAAGAAUUUUACAUUCAAGUCAUCGGAUUUAAGGCUGAUAGGGACCAGGGAAGUCCUUCAUUUCUCAGAACAGGACACCGAGGCACAUGCCAGUCCUGUGCCACUCAGCAGGGCUGCUGACUUCUAGGCAGUGCUUCUGUUCCUGGACUAUGGUCUAGGGGAGGACAGCCAGACAUGGCCUGUUAGGGGACUUUGAUGCCCACUCCCAGGUGAGAGGCAAUGUAGUAGACCACUGUGGAUGUCCCAUAGUUUACAUAUAUGUGAAGUGGUCUUAAUUACAAUCUCCUUGAAGCAGGCUUGUCUCAACAGCUAUAAGAGCUCACUCUGUGUGUUGCCAAGUGUUGAAUGAAGAUCUUUUCUAGUCAACCACAUAUUCCAUUCAGUAACACCUCUUACAAGAGACCAAAACUUUAUUCUGUUCCCUUUCAUAUUUAAAUAUGGGCAUACCUUUUAAAAAUGCUUUUACUGUGAAUUCUUCCUCCCAGCUGCUUAUCAAUAGCAUCUGUUCCAUCAGUUUUUGUGGAAUAUACACCAAUAAUUCUACUCUCACAGCUUGCACCAGAUGUGUUAAGAUAGUGGAGAACCCAAACUGUUGGCUUAUUGCAAACUAAACCAUAUGAAUCACAGAAGUCUGUUAAAGCCUGGAGCAAAAAAAAUAUACAAAAUUUGAAUUUAAUUCUGGAGUAAAGUAGAAAUGAAUUUGGUUCUAUUACUUUCAUGUAAAGCUGCAAUUUCAGUUGGUCAUAAGGGAAAUAAAAAGAUGAUAAAUUUCA